ACGACUCGAAUCUUGCGGUACAACUCGUAUGAAACGUAUGCAUCUUUUGCUGCAUACUCAAUGUUGAUAUCAUCAAGUGGGCCCUUCUCCCAAAGUUUGUGCUGAUACUUUGGGAAACUGGUCUUCAUAUCACCAUAUCCCUCGUCGAUCAAGGCAACUGCCAUAUGAGCCAUCGAAGUCCUGUCAUGUCGAAACCUGAAUACCGUUUGGAGAUCAA
rnacentral:lncRNA from 1 species